CUACUCCUCAUUGCUUAUGCUCGACAUUAUAUUGUGCAAUAAGCAAAGUUUAAACACACACACACACACACACACACAAAUGCUCUGACUUAUAAGAAGACCUGUGCAGUGAUGGCAGCUAACAUUUAUAUUUUUAAAGAGAAGUGAUACAAGGAUCUGAACAUUUCCCCAAAACUAAUUAUAAUUCUUUAAAUUACAGAUUACAGGGGAGGAAUGUACCGACCCGUUCCUGGGCCUGAGGGAUCUUCUUGCACUGGCUACGCUGCCCCGAGGCACGUGAAGGGUUAAUCAAGCAAAGUUACCAUAAAUCAGCUGAUUUACGAAAACUGUCAGGUAUGGGGAAAAAAUAAUAAAAAUGUGGAAAGAGUCCAUGCAUCAGAGGUAGGAACAGGAAGCAAUCACAUUGCUCUAAUUUAUAAAAUGCAUGCUGACAUUAUAACACAGAGUGCUGUAUCAGAAAUAAAAGUUUAAAUGAGCCUGAGGUCAUGCUAAUGUUACCUGUGAUGGAGGGAGGGGAGGGAAAGAAGGUGUGUGUGUGUGUGUGUGUGUGUGUGUGAGAGAAUAAUCUCCAUCAGCUCAGUCUGUAGGAUAAAAUUACUGAGUUAUUAAGAAAAGUUGGGGUGUGUUUUGUGAACGCGCUCUGUAAUGGCGCGCGCCCUCUGCACCACGUGACUGGCAGACAGGUGAUGCUGCUCAUUUGCAUGAGGAACAGGUAAGCGGGAAGUUCACGUGCUUUCCUAAAAACAAGCUAAACAAACCGAAAUCACGCUUUCGGCUGAACGUGUCGAAGCAAAUCGAGUCGGAUGUUUUAGUUAAGAAGAAAAAAAAAAAAAAAAAAAGAAGAAGAAAAAUAAAAAGAAGAAGAAGAAAAAAAAGUGGUCUUUUUUCUGUCAGGAAACUCAGUAGAGGAGAAACAGCCAGUCAGCCUGCAGUCUGCAGGGGGAAAAUCAUCUGCAAUGAAAAUGUCAGAGGAAUGACUUCAUAAGGACACAACGCCUGUUGGGACCAUGGUGGCAGUGACGCUGACUGAUGUGCAUGCAGUCCUGGCGUUUUUCACGCUCUUUGCUCUGGCCACGGUGCUGAUGGCGUGUGUGCUAUGCAGGAAACGCAAGACCGAGGGAACCUACCGGCCGAGCGCAGAGGAGGAAAAACAAACCGAGAGCCAGGAGUCGGAGAAACCAGGCCUCCCGCUGCCUCUGCCCAAAGAGGAGCGACUGAUCUGAGCCACUCCUUUAACCGCACGGUGUGACUGAACUGAGAAAUGCCAUUCUAAAUCAAAGCUCUAUUUAUAAUGCAAUAAUGGCAUCUAACAGGGUUCUGCUCCAUUCUAGAACCACACUUGAUAAGCUAGAACUCCAUGUAUUCCAUAAUAGAGUACAUUAAGCACUGAUGGACUCUCUCUCUCUCUCUCUCUCUCUCUCUCUCUCUAUUGGCCAUACAAUUCUUGGUCAUGGCUGUUUAUGAAGCCGAGGUGUGUGUGUUUAUCAUUGUGUCCAGAUUUGCCAAAAUUUACAGUUUCGCUGCAGCAUUUAUGAUUUUUGACCGACAAGAAAAUCAUAUUGCUACAGCGAUACUGAGACAGAUGAAAACUGUGCUUUUCUGCUUUUUCAGUUAAUGCAGUGAAUAAAAAUUUACUCAAAUGAAAAGCUGAUUCACUGAAGGGGAAAGGACGCAGGAUGUGAAAAAUGCAGAUUUGGUUCUGGUAGCAGUUACUUUCAAUACUUCUGAGCAAAAAGAAAUAAGGGGGCGGGGCUGUGGUCUGUUUGGGUGAUUAUUAAACGGAGGAGCCACUAAUUAUCAAGUAGCAUCAUUCUGGACUUUUACCUUGCUGUUUUUUUUUGUUUUUUUUUUAUUUUGCUUGUUGCUGUUGCUUGGCUUACAUAUGAGAAAAAAAAAAAUCCGUCUCAUCCACUGCCAUAUGCUUAGGGUAAUUUUUUAUUUUUAUUUAUUUAUUUUUUUUCCUUCUUUCUUCUUUCCCCCCCUCUCUCUGCCUAUUAGGAUGUUCUAGUUAGAAAUUUUGGCACCUCUGAGACCCUGUCCAUAUAUAUAUAUAUAUAUAUAUAUAUAUAUAUAUAUAUAUAUAUAUAUAUAUAUAUAUAUAUAUAUAUAUAAAAUAUAAAAACAGUAUUUUCCUUGCAUUUUGGUCUCUUGUCCACAUUAAAACAGCAUUUUGUGUCACUGAAAACGAUUCUUUUCGAAAAUGCUCUCCAAGGUGGAGAAAUCUUUAGAAAACUUCACUGUUUUUGUGUAGACGGGGAAAAAAGCAUGUACUAGGACUUUGUUUAUCAUGACUGCUGACCAAGUGGUUACAUUGUGGUCUCUCUUUGCAAUUUAUUUCUGCUUUAUUUAUUAUUACACCCUCGUGUCGAGGUGGCAGAACAUGAUCCGUGCUGCACUGCUCCUGAUUCCUCCACGGCAGUGCUGUAAACACUUUGAAUUCUAGUGUAAUCUUAAGCAGUAGUUCCACCUCAUUGUCAGUCCACCCAUUUGUUUGUCAUAAUUCUUGGUCAUGUUGGUGUUUUUACACAUUUGUCCUUCUCUACCACUCAAUACACAGCUCUUAACAUUAUUCUUGAGGCAUUUUACAUGUGACAGGUUGACCUACUAUUGCACCUAAUGGCCUGGUGGGGUCAUGUGUGUAUUUUCUAAUCGAUUGUGUUUUCGCUUGGUUAGAGACCUUUGCGAAAGUGCAAAGGAUGAGAAUUCCUUUGAAAUUGGACAGGAAAAACCCACUUUUUCAAAAAUAUUAAUGUGUCUGGAUGGCUGCUGAAUGUCUGUAAGAUCUGUAAGAUUUGGUUAAGACCUCAAUACAAGGACUUGAAGGGAAAAGACUUAUAGCUUAUCUGCUAUUGCUGUUUACUUUUUAGACAUGAGCAUAAUUUGUGUGUGUAAUGUAUUUAAUGUAUUCUGAAAAAAAAAAACAAAUCAGGAACACUGUAUAUAAGUCAUUUGUAAUAUACUAUGAGCAAUUACACUGAAUGUAAAAAUAAACUUUGCGUUUGUCAUUUC